rnacentral:lncRNA from 1 species
GAAUCAGCUUCCCAAGAAAUAUAUUUCAGUGAGAAAGAAUUCUUUUCACAAACCAAAUUGAGCUCUUCAUGGAUCAUAAUCUAAGGAGAAACUAAACUAAGUGAACCAACCCUCUGUUUGGUACAAAGGAUGGAUGGAAAGAAGGAUAGGUUGAGGAAGAACGGAUGAGAGAGAAGAUGGAUGGAUCUUCCAUUCAUCCUUUCAUAUGUUUAGUGAAACAUGGAAAGAUGGAUAGAAAUAAUUUCCUUCUCUAUUUAGUAUAAGAAAAAUGAAAAGGAGGAUGGAUGAUAUUUAUAUAAUAUUUUUACUAGACUAUCCUUUG